rnacentral:lncRNA from 1 species
GCAGAUGGCCAGGCUGCUAGGCCUCUGUGCCUGGGCACGGAAGUCGGUGCGGAUGGCCAGCUCCAGGAUGACCCGCCGGGACCCGCUCACAAAUAAGGUGGCCCUGGUAACGGCCUCCACCGACGGGAUCGGCUUCGCCAUCGCCCGGCGUUUGGCCCAGGACAGGGCCCACGUGGUCGUCAGCAGCCGGAAGCAGCAGAAUGUGGACCAGGCGGUGGCCACGCUGCAGGGGGAGGGGCUGAGCGUGACGGGCACUGUGUGCCAUGUGGGGAAGGCGGAGGACCGGGAGCGGCUGGUGGCCAUGGCUGUGAAGCUUCAUGGAGGUAUCGAUAUCCUAGUCUCCAAUGCUGCUGUCAACCCUUUCUUUGGAAGCCUAAUGGAUGUCACCGAGGAGGUGUGGGACAAGGUUAUUUAUUUAUUUUUGUGAUGGAGCCUCACUCUGUUACCCAGGCUGGAGUGCAGUGGUGCUAUCUCAGCUCACUGCAACCUCCACCUCCCGGGUUCAAGCUAUUCUGCUGUCUCAUCCUCCUGAGUAGCUUGGAUUACAAACACAUGCCACCACGUCUGGCUAAUUUUUGUAUUUUUAGUACAGACGAGGUUUGCCAUGUUGCCCAGGCUGUUCUCGAACUCCUGACCUAAAAGUGAUCCACCCAUCUUGGCCUCCCGAAGUGCAGGGAUUGCAGGCAUGAGCCACCAUGCCCAGCCCUGAGUUUUUUUUUUUUUAAUUUACAUUUUUUUAUUUUUGUUCUUUGUAAUUUUUGAUUUUAUUAU